rnacentral:rRNA from 1 species
AUAGAGGUCCAGCCUGCCCACUGACAAAUGUUAACGGCCGCGGUACCCUAACCGUGCAAAGGUAGCAUAAUCACUUGUCCUCUAAAUAGGGACUAGUAUCAACGGCAUCACGAGGGCUAUACUGUCUCCUUUCUCUAAUCAGUGAAACUGAUCUCCCCGUGAAGAAGCGGGGAUUAUCUUAUAAGACGAGAAGACCCCAUGGAGCUUUAAGCAACAUAUUCACCUCCUUCCUCUUUUAUACCAAAUUAACAAAAAGCCUGAAUACUAGCUUUAGGUUGGGGAGACCGCGGAGCAUAACUUAACCUCCACGACAAAAAGGCCACGACCUUAUCCACGAGCUACAACUCUAAGAAUCAACAAACUGAUGUUUAAUGACCCAUAUUUAUGAUCAACGGACCAAGUUACCCUGGGGAUAACAGCGCAAUCUACUUCAAGAGCCCCUAUCGACAAGUAGGUUUACGACCUCGAUGUUGGAUCAGGGUAUCCCAGUGGUGCAACCGCUACUAAAGGUUCGUUUGUUCAACGAUUAAAACCCUAC